rnacentral:rRNA from 1 species
UACGGAGGGGGCUAGCGUUGUUCGGAAUUACUGGGCGUAAAGCGCACGUAGGCGGCUUUGUAAGUUAGAGGUGAAAGCCCGGGGCUCAACUCCGGAAUUGCCUUUAAGACUGCAUCGCUAGAAUUGUGGAGAGGUAAGUGGAAUUCCGAGUGUAGAGGUGAAAUUCGUAGAUAUUCGGAAGAACACCAGUGGCGAAGGCGGCCAUCUGGACCGGUACUGACGCUAAUGCGCGACAGCGUGGGGAGCAAACAGG